rnacentral:lncRNA from 1 species
UUAUUUGAAAAAGAGUCUUUUCAAGUGACCAAAUUAAGAUGAAGUUAUUAUGGUGGGCCAUAAUCCAAUGUGACUAUGUUCAUAUAAAAAAGGGAAAUUGGCUACAGAGACAGACAUACUUAGAGGAAAGACUGAGUGAGAAGACGCAGGGAGAACAUCAUGCAAAGAUGAAAACAGAGAUUAAAAUGAUGUACCUACAGCCAAGGAGCGCUAAGUAUUGCCAGGAAAUCGCCAGAAGAUAAGAGAUUCAUGGCACAGAUUGUCCCUCACAGUAUUCAGAAAGAACUGAUCCUGUGGGCACCUUGAUCUUGGACUUCCAGCCUCCAGAACUUUGAGACUGUAAAUUUCUUUUGUUUUAGCAGCUCAGUUUGUGGUCCUUCAUUACAGCAGCCCCAGGAAACUAAUACACCAUGAAAGGGAUUGUAUCAAGAAGGCUUAGUCAAAGUGCCCUGUUUCAAGACACUCUCCACAAUGCAUGUGGCUGGGCGAAGCUGCAACGAGAGUACAGUUUCCUAGGGCUUCUGAAGAUGGGAAUUUUCCAUUGGAAGCUGCACUGUGAUUGACUUGGAGUACAUUAGCAACACAGCCUUAAUGAGCUACAGUGCAUUUGCCUGCACUAGAUGUUUCACUGUCAGAAGGAUUGGCAGUAAAAGGAUCCAAGUGGGCUGCUCACUGGGUACCACCCACACUCCCCCACCUGCCUCACUGCAGCCCAACAAUUCAACCACCAGGCUGGCAGGACUUGGGAAGCCACCUGUGAUCAAUGUGGAAAGUACUUCAUGUUCCUGCAGUACAAUCAGCAGGUCUCUGAAUCCUGUGAACUUAAACUGCUCUCUUGAAGACCACCAAUGA